rnacentral:misc_RNA from 1 species
GUUAGAUCCCAAAUUCGUCCCGACGCCAUCGCCGCUGCCGCCAUGUGGAGGAACUCCCGGAGUUUCUCAUCCAAACUCCGGUCAUCAUCUUCAUCUCCUAGCCCUUCAACCACGAUCUCCAUUUCCACCUUCUAUCGUCACGUCGGAGUCGCUCGGCGCCCCCUCUAUCCUUAUUCAUCAUCCUUGUACUUUUCUUUAUCAUCGUCGCCGUCCUAUUCCGA